rnacentral:rRNA from 1 species
AGCAGUAGGGAAUCUUCCACAAUGGACGAAAGUCUGAUGGAGCAAUGCCGCGUGAGUGAAGAAGGUUUUCGGAUCGUAAAACUCUGUUGUUGAAGAAGAACAUAUGUGAGAGUAACUGUUCACGUACUGACGGUAUUCAACCAGAAAGCCACGGCUAACUACGUGCCAGCAGCCGCGGUAAUACGUAGGUGGCAAGCGUUGUCCGGAUUUAUUGGGCGUAAAGAGAAUGUAGGCGGUUCAUUAAGUUUGAAGUGAAAGCCCUCGGCUCAACCGAGGAAGUGCUUCGAAGACUGGUGAACUUGAGUGCAGAAGAGGAAAGUGGAACUCCAUGUGUAGCGGUGGAAUA